rnacentral:rRNA from 1 species
GUAGUCAUAUGCUUGUCUCAAAGAUUAAGCCAUGCAUGUCUAAGUAUAAGCAAUUAUACAGCGAAACUGCGAAUGGCUCAUUAUAUAAGUUAUCGUUUAUUUGAUAGUACCUUACUACUUGGAUAACCGUGGUAAUUCUAGAGCUAAUACAUGCUGAAAAUCCCGACUUCGGAAGGGAGGUAUUUAUUAGAUUAAAAACCAAUGCCCUCUGGGCUCCUUGGUGAUUCAUAAUAACUUUUCGAAUCGCACGGCCUUGCGCCGGCGAUGGUUCAUUCAAAUUUCUUCCCUAUCAACUUUCGAUGUUUGGGUAUUGGCCAAACAUGGUCGCAACGGGUAACGG